rnacentral:rRNA from 1 species
GAUUUCUGACUUGGCGCACCUGGCCCGCCACGGUUACGUGUGUGAGUGCCGGGAUGCGCCUGUCACUUUUCUGGUAAACCAUUGCGCUCUUCACUGAGUGUGAUGGGUAGCCAGAUAUUUUACUUUGAAAAAAUUAGAGUGUUUAAAGCAGGCGUUUGCUAUGAAUAUUAUUAGCAUGGAAUAAUAAGUUAGGACUUCGGUUCUAUUUUGUUGGUUUCUAGGACUGAAGUAAUGAUUGAUAGGGAUAGUUGGGGGUGCUAGUAUUCAGCGGCCAGAGGUGAAAUUCUCGGAUUCGCUGAAGACUUACUUAUGCGAAAGCAUU